CAGGAUGAACGCAGCGAUAGGCCUAACACAUGCAAGCGAGGGCAUCACAUGAAGCAGCAACGCGGAUGGUGGCGACCGGCGCACGGGUGAGUAACACGUAUGCAACCUGCCUUCAACAAGGGGAUAACCCGUUGAAAGACGGACUAAUACCCUAUAAUACAGGGGUCCCGCAUGGGGAUAUUUGUUAAAGAUUAAUCGGUUGAAGAUGGGCGUGCGUUCCAUUAGCUAGUUGGUGGGGUAACGGCCCCCCAAGGCAACGAUGGAUAGGGGAACUGAGAGGUUUAUCCCCCACACUGGUACUGAGACACGGACCAGACUCCUACGGGAGGCAGCAGUGAGGAAUAUUGGUCAAUGGACGCAAGUCUGAACCAGCCACGUCGCGUUAGAAGGAAGACGGCCCUACGGGUUGUAAACUUCUUUUGCAAGGGAAUAAAGUGGGCCACGCGUCGGUCCUUUUCCGCUAUGUACCUUGCGAAUAAGGAUCGGCUAACUCCGUGCCAGCAGCUGC
rnacentral:rRNA from 1 species